rnacentral:rRNA from 1 species
UUACGGGAGGCAGCAGUUGGGAAUCUUGCACAAUGGGGGAAACCCUGAUGCAGCGACGCCGCGUGGACGAUGAAGGCCUUAGGGUUGUAAAGUCCUUUUUUGGGGAAAGACUUAGGACGGUACCCCAAGAAUAAGCUCCGGCUAACUACAUGCCAGCAGCCGCGGUAAGACGUAGGGAGCAAGCGUUGUCCGGAUUUACUGGGCGUAAAGAGCGCGUAGGCGGCUCGUUAAGUGUGAAGUGAAAUCUCCAGUGCUCAACACGGAAACUGCUUUACAUACUGGCGAGCUUGAGGAAGGCAGAGGUAGCUGGAAUCCCUGGUGUAGCGGUGAAAUGCGUUGAUAUCAGGAGGAACACCCAUGGCGAAGGCAGGUUACUGGGCUUUAUCUGACGCUGAGGCGCGAAAGCGUGGGUAGCAAACAGGAUUAGAUACCCUGGUAGUCC